GGAGUUGAUGGCAGAUCUCGGAAUGCAGAAGCCUGGUUUGCUCUCAAACCAUAAAGUCACACAUAACACCAGGGAAGGCACUAUAGUUGGAGUGUUCUACACUACUAUCACUACAACUUUGUACUGCUCAUGCCUAAGGUAAGAAAAAAUAACAAAUAACACAGGACAAAAAGUAGACCUCAUUCAAUUCUCAGAGGGCUUUCCUCAAGUGCGAACUCCAUAUACCCUGAACAGAGCUUUCAGAACCUCCCUUCCACAGAGGUCUUCCACAGAAUUCUUCCCAUAUAAAUGAUAAUAUAUUUGAGCUGAAGCAGAGUUUCUAUUGACACUUAAAAGCAUGGCAAGCAGUUGAUUAUAAGCCAUCAUGUUAUGAAGUUUGACACAUACCAGCAUGUUUCAUUUUACAGAGAAACUUCCAUUAGGACACAGUGCAAGUGACCAGUUUGUAUUCAUUUAUUUAUUGAGCAUCAUUUAAGGAGUGUUAGAACCUUUUAACUUUCUCCUACCAAGACAGUACCAGCUUCUUCUUUGAAUAAAAUGAUACAGAAGUAUAAAAUUGGGAAGAAGAUGAAAAUGCCAGUACAUGGAUGUAGUGAUAAAGGCCAGCGCAGCACUGGAUAACAUCUUCAAGAGUACAUGUGAGAAACGGUGGUGCUGAGGCCAGGGCAGGGGAGAAGAAGAGAGGAGGUACUCCAGAUAAUGCAGCAGGAGUUCCUCUGCAGAAACUGAGGAGAACAAUAGUUUAGCAGGCUUUCACCCUCCAUUCGGUGCCAUUGGCGAACAGGUGUGCCCCUACAGCCCUUAAGCCACGUAGGAGGCAGGUAAUGCUUUAACCCCAGCCAGAAACAAAGUGCCGCGCAGGUCACUCUCACCACCAGCCUGCUGGGAGAGAGAAUUGGAGGAGUAAAGAUGGGAAACAUUGUGGCUUAAGAUAAAAGCCAUUUACUAGGGAUAUCAAAAGCUCCACAUGCAAGCGAAGCUGGCAACACCAUCAGCAAACAGCCAUUGUGACAUCACUGGUGAGAUCAGCUCUGAAAACGGCUUGCAUCACAAAGGGCUGCACCCCGGCAGCCCUAUAAAAGCAGGGCAGUGGCUCGCAGCGCUCAGCGAGCACCACCACCACCAUGGCUGGUUACAAUCGGCGGGCCAGACGCCGCAGGAGCCGGAGCAGGAGCCGGAGCCACAGGCGCCUGCGCAAGACGCGGCGCACCGGCCACAGCCGCUCCCGCCGCCGCAGCACGCGGCGGAGGCGCCGGGUUGCGAGACGCCGCCACUCGGCUGUCAAGCGCCGGUCCUUCAGGAGACACAGGCACCAUGAAGAGGAGGAGGAGCCGGACGCCUUGGAUGACUUGGGACCGUUUAGUGAGCCGGUAGAUGACUUCGAGAUGUAGAGCCAGAGCCCCUGAGAAGACCAGCUGCCACACGGGCCUGGCUGCAACAAUAAAGCAUAGCAAGCUUUCAUGAUGAGUGUGUGUGUCUCCAGUGCGCUGUGCAGUAGAUCGCUUGGUGUCCGUUCAUGUUUCAGGGGUGGGGGACGCCCACAGGUCAGUGUGUCCAUGUUCAUGCCCAACAGCUGUCGGUGGCACAGUGUGUGUGAGGGUUUGGGAUCAGAAUAACAGGCCAUAGACACAUUCUCACUUCUUCCUGGACACCCCUGACUUUUAUCUCAAGUUACAGUUUUUCUCAGUUUUAGUCUUCUGAUUGUCUCCCCCAGCAAGCUACCCUCGAACUCCCAGCAGCACUGCGGCACAAAGCACCAAAUGUUAUUCUCUGUGGGGGCUCUGCUCAGCCCUUAGGGACUUUGCAAAAAGGGGACCCAGAAAGGACCCCAGGGGACCAGAGAAAGCUGCAUGGACACCUGUGUUGGCAUGGUCACAAGAACUGCAAAAGAGGGAGACAUUACAUGUAUUGUUUAUAUUCAUCUAUUCACACCUGAAGACCUCCAGAACUUCUGGCUGAAUGCCACCAUCCAGGCCUAGGCAUUUUUACAAGUGUGUUUUAUAAAAUGUAUGUAUAGUUUUACAAUAAUCUGUAUGUGUAUUAGCAGCUAUGUAAUUUAGUACAAAUGUUCUCUCCCCUUAAAUCUCCUCAGAUGUCAUUCUAGCAGAGGUAUUCCAGUUAAAUAUGCAGAAAGUAGUUUAGCAAUUAAAAAUUCCAUAGGUUCUAUAACUUAUAAAAGUUUGCCUUCAUUUAAAAAGCAGUUGGAAGGAUUAAUAGAAGAAAAUUCUGUCAAAGGCUAUGAAUAUAAAGCCUUCAAGCCCAGGAAAACUUGGGCGUAUCCUCUGAAGGAAGUAUCAUUUUAAGUUUGACCUGCUCAAACAGAGCUUCAGCAUUCACUGUUGGCCACUGUUGGGCAUUCUUUUAUAAUUAUGUCAUAGUAUGAGAAGCACAAAGCUAGACAAAGAGAAAGUUCCAUCUUUUGCCUGAUAAAAUGUCAGACACUCAGAAGCACCCAUAAGUGAGAGCCAAUUCGCAGCAUAUAAAAUAAACAUUUAUUUAUUUAUUCCCUUUCUGUAGCAAAGAAAGACGUCUUUAUCAGCUUGCUACAUUAAAUCAGCUCUGGUCUGACAUGCACUUCAACAGAUGAGAAGCUACCAUGGUGCUGAUGGACAAGUAUCCUCUGCAUACAAGGAAUGGCUAUAAUUUGAAGUUUGGUGAGCCCAAAAGACUCUCUGAUGAGUCAGUGAGGUACAGAGACUAAACCUGGUAUUUAGUCUUCUGGGAAUCUUGAAGAUGUGAUGUAAAGUGCACUGCUGUAUGUUGUGCUGCAUAAGCAGAAGCAAGGCUUCUGCUGGAUGAAAACAUUCAGUGCAAAAUACACUUGCAGGCUCAAGAAAAGAAAUAAAUACGAAGGAUGGGAGGAGUGAACAAUCCAACACCAAAGAAAUUGCUAGGAAUAAAGAAAAGAGCUGUUUAGCAUUUCAAAAGGUGUCUUUCUUCUUAUAUAUGUUCACAGUGUUCCAAAUCUGUCAACAAACUCAGAAAUCCUCAAGCUAGAGUAGUAGCUAUUUGGCUUAUUCCAAAGGAGAUCACCCUGAUGGAGAGUAAUAUAUAGAGCUGGUAUGUCAAUGUGAUCUAAUCUGAAGCUACAGGGUGAUCUAUUCAGGGGUGAUCCAAUUCUAACAAAGAUAAAUACAGCUUCUGCCUCACAGUGUUUCACAAUGCCAGACACUGGCCAUUGGUUUCCCCAACAUGAUGGAUUUUCUGGUCAGGUGUGGUGACAUCUCAUGACCUAAAUAGCUUUCAGAGAAUGGCUGGUUUGUUUUGAAUGAUGAUGGAUUAUACUCCAGAACUCCCCAUGAAAAAUGAUGCCUCAUGCUUGCAAGUAUUGCAUGGACAUGGAUAAGUCCCAGACAGCUCUUGAACUCGGUAAACAUCCUUAUGGUUUUAUUGCAAGUUUCUGCCCAUAUUUUUCCCAUGCUUUAUAACUCCCUCCUUUAUUUCUCAAUCAUCCUACAUAAAUUGAUACUCACAUCCUCCUCGGUACAUCCUUGUUACAUAUGGGAUAUAUAUGGAAAUAUGAAGAAGACACUGAAGUCAGUAAUACGGCUAAAUGAAGGUACCAAGCAACAUCUGAUUCCAGCUACAGAUCAUGAAUUUUAGCCAUAGCAGCAACAGUGACUGCAAACUAAACCCUUACUUUCUUGUGGCAUGUCACUACAGAACUACACCAGUAAUGCCUCUCCCUGAGGUGCAUAACCACUGGUUAUGUGCUCCCACAUCCCCUGGAGGAAAAUCCAGGAUAAUAAUAAGAAACAGGAGAAUUGGGCAGAAAGAGCACAAGCAGGAAGUUCUGAUCAUGAUGAAGCCCACUCUGCAUAGAACCAGACUGAAUCCAACAAAUUCUCUGGUUACACUGUACAUAAACUAAAGCUAAAUUUAGCCCUGCAUACCUUACCUACCGAACUCCAAACUAAUGGAAGAAUUUAAUACCACAGAGCAUUGCUACUACAUUAAAAAAGAGGGUCCAUGUCUGAAUUAUCUGGAACAACAGUUCUCAAGCUAUAUAUAUACAUAUGUAUAUAUAUUUAACUGAGUUUUGGACAUUAAUAAGGCCUAAUGAAGUACACUUUCUUGCACUACAGGCUAAUGCACACCAGUAGUUUCUGGUUUGAACAGAGUGCUGCUGUUUUCCUUCCUUUCUGAUAUUUUCCACUCUUUCCUUUAAAGAAUGUCAGUGUUUUGCCUUUCUCUUAGUGUUAAGAAUGAGCAGUUUCAAUUGAAGGCUCUUCUUUCUCUAAAUGCUCUUGUCAUGUUUUGAAAAUCAGGCAGCAAGCUGAUUGGAGGAGUAGGGAAGACCAGGGAAGCACCCACAAGCAAUGCCUAAUGGAGAAGACAAACGCCACCAACAGCAAGAAAAUAAACAAAAUUCCAAAAUAUUCCUUCCAUCUGUUUGCUAUACUAUGACAAAGUCCAUUUUUAGUGCAAUAACCAAAGGGAUUUAAAAAAAAACUUCAGUACUGAAAGAACACAGUUCCACUAAGGAAAUUAUUGUACCACAAGCAAUGACCUCUUUCCUAUUUGAAAUGCAUUCAAUCAUGCAGUUCUUCAGAAAGUGAGGGACUGUUUGUGGGCACAGGAUGAAUCCAGCUGAGCAUCAAACAAGCUUUUCAUGCACCAAUUUUUGGAAUGCCUGCCUGUGACCUACAGUACCCAAGCUGCUCCAGUCCUUCCUCAGCCGCUCUCAUGAGUCACAUCUCACAUCUCGAGAUCGUUGUUGUGGUAUCAUAGAAUCAUCAUAGAAUCCUAGAACCAUAGAAUCAUAAUAGAAUCAUAGAACAGCCUAGGUUGGAAGAGACCUUAAACAUUAUCUAGUUCCAGCCCCUCUGCCCUGGGCAGGAACACCUUUCACUAGACCAGUACUGAAUACCUAUUGAACACAGCUCAGACUGUGCCAGACCCUUCUCCCACGAUUUCUGUCCAUACCCAAACUGAUUUCUGCAGAUAAAAGAUCCAUGUUACCAGAGCCAUUUCAAGCUCCUUCAUAAACUAGCUUGAAACAGAGCUGAAACCAAAGCCUACCAUUGUGACACAGACAAAACAGAAGAAGUCGCUGAGAAUAAUUCUAAAGCAAUAUCCAUAGGUAUUAUGGCUCCUAGGUGUUUAUUGGGUUUUUUUUUUUGUUUCUUUGGUUUUUUGAGUGUGAGUGUUUUAUGGGACUGAAAGUAAAGGCACAAGAUAAUCUGCUUUCUGUUAGAUUAGUAACCCUGCUGGCUGGAAUCUUAUCACUGGAAUCAGAAACACAGGGAACGCUGGAAGACAAUUUUUAAAUUGUCACAUACCAGCAAGUAAUCAUACAUACAUGUCUCACUGGGAAUAUCCAAAUUCAGCCACGGUCAUACUUCAGCUUCAGGCUAAUCAACUGUACUCCAAUCAACCCUGCAACUCUGCUGCAAUGCAGAAAGUAUCCGAUCCAUCAACACCAAAGGCAUUUGACAUGACAUACAGACAAAACAAGCCCUAACCCAAAUCUUCACCAAAGAGGCAGCUCCUGUGACAUAGCUCCAAUUAGCAAUUUACACGUACUGCAAUGUCAGAUAGACUAAUUUCAUUUUAAUUUGUUUAAACAAAUACACUCCUACCAUUCACUUUUGUUACAAGCAGAACUCUCACUGCUCUCACUGCAGGAUGUUUAAUAUAUCUUGAAAUCCUGAUAAAUCAUUCUCUGUGCAUGAAGAAUAAGAGCAAUUUCAAAAGAGUUUCCUCCAACUUAACUAAAAAGAAAGAAAGGGGGUAGGGGAAGGGGAAGUGAGAAAACAUAUGUUUGUUGCUUGCCUUUCUAAGACACUUAGGAAAAGAAAAAGAUAAAAGUCAGUUUCUCAGUUGCUAGUGUGCAAGGUAUUACAGAAAAUCCAAUGUAUCUGAUGACAGAAGGGGCAGAAGCCUAAUCCUGCCUUAUUCAAAAUGCAUAGGUUAUUUGAGCCUGAGAGGAAUUUCCUCAAGCUACUUUCACUGCAACAUCCAUGAGAUUCAGUAAGCAGUUCUUAUUUUAUUGAUAAUGUUUGUCCCUGCCCAGAACUUGUGUAUGGCUUUAUUAAUCUGAAAGACUCGGUAAGUGGU
ensembl:lncRNA